UACGGGGGGGGCAAGCGUUGUUCGGAAUUACUGGGCGUAAAGGGCUCGUAGGCGGCCAAGUAAGUCAGAGGUGAAAUCCCUCGGCUUAACCGGGGAACUGCGUCUGAUACUGGAUGGCUUGAGAUUGGGAGAGGGAUGCGGAAUUCCAGGUGUAGCGGUGAAAUGCGUAGAUAUCUGGAGGAACACCGGUGGCGAAGGCGGCAUCCUGGACCAACACUGACGCUGAGGCGCGAAAGCGUGGGGAGCGAACAGG
rnacentral:rRNA from 1 species